ensembl:snRNA U6 U6 spliceosomal RNA
UUGCUUCGGCAGCACGCAUACUGAAAUUGGAACGAUAGAGAGAAGAUUAGCAUGGCCCCUGCGCAAGGAUGAUACGCGCACAUUCGUGAAGCGUCCCAUUUUUUU